rnacentral:lncRNA from 1 species
CCAAAGAUCAGUGGGAGAUUAGUGUAGAACAUUAAACAGAGGUGGGGUGUGUGUCAUAUUUCCAUUAAAAAAUUCAUCCUGGCCACAGUGUGAAGAAUAGAUUAGGGAGGAAGCCAAUCAGGAAGCAAUUGGAGUAGGCAAUGCAAAAGGCAAAGUGAACUUGGACUAGUGGUGGAGAUAAGUUGACUGCAGAGAGAGUAGGAAGUAAAAUUGGCCAGGCCUGUGUUGGGGGUGGGCUUGUGAGCAGGAUGUCAAAGAUAAUGUCCAGGAUUCUGGCUUGGAUGACAACUAUGGCAAUGCCCAUUACUGAGCUAGGAGAUGCUGGAGGAAGAUCAGGUGGGGACUGUGAGCAUGAGUUUGAUUUUUGCAGAUACUGGGUUUGAGACACUUUUGAGUCAAGCAGGCAUUUGGAAAUGUGGACUGGUGCCGAGAAGGAAUUCCCAGCAGUGAUUUGGUUUAGGUGGUCCUGGAAAGUAGAAACACCCAUGAGAUAAUUCUGGGGAUGGAGCUUAAAGGGACGUCAGCGUUCAAGGGCCAGGUAGAGGAUCAUGAGCUGUAAAGGGGACCCAGGUGGUUCCGGCACAGCGAGGAAAGCCUGCGAGUGUGAUGGCCAGGCUUCCAGGGAGAGAGGAGGGUUUUAAGGAGAACAACAUGCUGAAAGCCACUAAGAAG